rnacentral:tRNA from 1 species
GCCGCCUUAGCGCAGGGGUUUAGCGCAUCGCACUUGUAUUUUCUGAUUACAUAAUUACAUUGUGUAAUCAAGUUAAGAUCAAUGCGAAGGUCACUAGUUCAAAUCUGGUAGGUGGCU